AUUGAACGCUGGCGGCAGGCCUAACACAUGCAAGUCGAACGAGUGGCGGACGGGUGAGUAAUGUCUGGGACACUGCCUGAUGGAGGGGGAUAACUACUGGAAACUGUAGCUAAUACCGCAUACCAUCGGAUGUUCCCAGAUGGGAUUAGCUAGUAGGUGGGGUAACGGCUCACCUAGGCGACGAUCCAUAGCUGGUCGGAGAGGAUGACCAGCCACACUGGAACUGAGAACCGGUCAGGACUCCUACGGGAGGAAGAAUUGGGGAAUAUUGCACAAUGGGCGAAAGCCUGAUGCAGCCAUGCCGCGGGUAUGAAGAAGGCCUUCGGGUUGUAAAGUACUUUCAGCGGGGAGGCGUUACUCGCAGAAGAAGCAACGGCUAACUCCGUGCCAGCAGCCGCGGUAAUUC
rnacentral:rRNA from 1 species